UCCUCCAUAGCUCAGUUGAUAGAGCAUUCGGUAUAGAAAUUAGUGCCGAGUAGGUCACAGGUUUGAGUCCUGUUGGGGGAA
rnacentral:tRNA from 1 species